rnacentral:rRNA from 1 species
GGAAGUAAAAGUCGUAACAAGGUCUCCGUUGGUGAACCAGCGGAGGGAUCAUUACUGAGUUUUCAACUCCCAAACCCCUGUGAACAUACCUACUGUUGCUUCGGCGGGACUGCCCCGGGCCCCUGUGGCUCGGAUUCAGGCGCCCGCCGAGGAAAACCAAACCACUGUUUUAUUAUGGCAUUUUCUGAGUAAAAAACAAAAUAAAUCAAAACUUUCAACAACGGAUCUCUUGGUUCUGGCAUCGAUGAAGAACGCAGCGAAAUGCGAUAAGUAAUGUGAAUUGCAGAAUUCAGUGAAUCAUCGAAUCUUUGAACGCACAUUGCGCCCCUUGGUAUUCCAUGGGGCAUGCCUGUUCUAGCGUCAUUUUGUACCCUCAAGCACUGCUUGGUGUUGGGCGUUUGUCCUGCAGAGGACUCGCCUGACCCCCAUUGCCCCGCCAACGUAUCGGUGGCAGAGCGCAGCACAAUCUCGCGUCUCUCCCCUCUACGUCGGCGUCCAUGAAGCCUACAAUUUCAACGUUUGACCUCGGAUCAGGUAGGGAUACCCGCUGAACUUAAGCAUAUCAAUAAGCGGAGGAA